AUUGAACGCUGGCGGCAGGCCUAACACAUGCAAGUCGAACGAGUGGCGGACUGGUGAGUAAUGUCUGGGAAACUGCCUGAUGGAGGGGGAUCACUACUGGAAACGGUAGCUGAUACCGCAUACCCUAAGAUGUGCCCAACUGGGAUUAGCUAGUUGGUGGGGUAACGGCUCGCCAAGUCGACGAUCCCUAGCGGGUCUGAGAGGAUGACCAGCCACACUGGAACUGAGACACGGUCCAGACUCCUACGGGAGGCAGAAGUGGGGAAUAUUGCACAAUGGGCGCAAGCCGGAUGCAGCCAUGCCGCGUGUAUGAAGAAGGCCUUCGGGUUGUAAAGUACUUUCAGCGGGGAGGCGGUACCCGAAGAAGAAGCACCGGCUAACUCCGUGCCAGCAGCCGCGGUAAUAC
rnacentral:rRNA from 1 species